rnacentral:rRNA from 1 species
AGUGAACGCUGGCGGUAGGCCUAACACAUGCAAGUCGAACGGCAGCACAGUAAGAGCUUGCUCUUACGGGUGGCGAGUGGCGGACGGGUGAGGAAUACAUCGGAAUCUACUUUUUCGUGGGGGAUAACGUAGGGAAACUUACGCUAAUACCGCAUACGACCUACGGGUGAAAGCAGGGGAUCUUCGGACCUUGCUCGAUUGAAUGAGCCGAUGUCGGAUUAGCUAGUUGGCGGGGUAAAGGCCCACCAAGGCGGCGAUCCGUAGCUGGUCUGAGAGGAUGAUCAGCCACACUGGAACUGAGAAACGGUCCAGACUCCUACGGGAGGCAGCAGUGGGGAAUAUUGGACAAUGGGCGCAAGCCUGAUCCAGCCAUACCGCGUGGGUGAAGAAGGCCUUCGGGUUGUAAAGCCCUUUUGUUGGGAAAGAAAAGCAGCAGGUUAAUACCCCGCUGUUCUGACGGUACCCAAAGAAUAAGCACCGGCUAACUUCGUG